UACGGGGGGGGCAAGCGUUGUUCGGAAUUACUGGGCGUAAAGGGCUCGUAGGCGGCCAACUAAGUCGGAUGUGAAAUCCCCAGGCUUAACUUGGGAACUGCAUCCGAUACUGGAUGGCUUGAAUCCGGGAGAGGGAUGCGGAAUUCCAGGUGUAGCGGUGAAAUGCGUAGAUAUCAGGAGGAACACCUGCGGUGUAGACGGCUUUCUGGACCAUUGCUGACGCUGAGACACGAAAGCGUGGGUAGCAAACAGG
rnacentral:rRNA from 1 species